GCUGGGCUUGAUGGCUCACGCCUGUAAUCCCAGUGCUUGGGAGGCUGAGGCAGAAGGAUGGAGAGUUUGAGGACAGCCUCAGCAACUUAGUGAGGCCCUUAAGCCUAAGCAACUUAGCGAGAUCCUGUCUCAA
rnacentral:sRNA from 1 species